rnacentral:lncRNA from 1 species
AGCCACCCUUCGUUGCCAAUGUCAUCCCCAAAUUAGUGUGCCGGUUAAACAAACACGCUCCACUAACGUUUGACAAGGGUACGAAGUGUAUUUCCAUGGGUUAGCAUACAAUUUCACAUUUUUCCUAAAGUAACUAUGAUUUGGGAAUUUGUAAAAGCAUUUAGUUACUUUGUACUUCAUUAUACUUAUAAUGGAAGGUUUCUGUCCUAUCCUACCCGUUCGGCUAACGACCCUCCACUAGUCAAGAGUGCGGUGGGUAAGAGUGGAUACCCAUUCAAUCGCCAUUUUAUAGGCAAUUUCCUUAAACACCCCUUAUAGACCAGCUUCGUGAAUGAGGCCUACUAACGGUNGUGUGAAUAACCAUACGAAUCACGUGGUGCACCCAAUGCUACUAUCACCAAAUCAAUGUGAUGGUUAGCCACACACGCUCCAUUGAUCUAUGAUAAACAUCGAGCCACCCUUCGUUGCCAAUGUCAUCCCCAAAUUAGUGUGCCGGUUAAACAAACACGCUCCACUAACGUUUGACAAGGGUACGAAGUGUAUUUCCAUGGAUUAGCAUACAAUUUCACAUUUUGCCUAAAGUAACUAUGAUUUGGGAAUUUGUAAAAGCAUGUAGUUACUUUGUACUUCAUUAUACUUAUAAUGGAAGGUUUAUGUUCUAUCCUACCCGUUUGGCUAACGACCCUCCACUAGUCAAGAGUGUGGUGGGUAAGAGUGGAUACCCAUUUAAUCGCCAUUUUAUAGGCAAAAUCCUUAAACACCGCUUAUAGACCAUCUUCGUGAAUGAGGCCUAAUAACGGUAAGACUGACUGUUUUUCUCAUACAUAUAUAUAAUAUUAGACUUUUAAUGUUAUAUAUAGUAUUGGGUGUAUUUUACACUUUUAAAAUACUAUGUGGUUUUAUUAACUUUCUCUUUUAAUUAAACUUUUAAUUAACUUAACA